CUUGUACUCCCUCCGUCUGAAAAUACUUAUCAUUGAAAUGGAUGUAUCUAGAUGUAUUUUAGUUCUAGACACAUCCAUUUUGAUGACAAGUAAUUCCGGACGGAGGGAGUACUUG
rnacentral:pre_miRNA from 1 species